GUUGCAACGUACGUCUCUUUGUUCGCUGCGACAGAUCAGUCUAAAAUUUGUUCGCUUCUUUGUUUGCUGCAACAGUCUCAAAAUUUUGCUCGCGUUGAGUGGACUUAAUUUUAUUUUUCAUUUUCAAAAUUUUCGAUUCUUCCUUCACCUCAGCUCUACCGGAAACACCGCCCUUCUUCUUCUUCUUCGAUCUUCCUCUCUGCUUUGUUCACCUUCACAUCUACUUUGUUCAUCUUCCUCUCUACUUUGUUCACCUCUGUGUUUUUUCUCUCUCCUCUGCUUCUCAAUCACUCUCCUCUACUCCUCUUAUCUGGUCCGGUAGAAAAAAAAAUCGCAAGCAGACCUAACUUGCCGUAAUUCAACCACGGAGACCUAGCUUGCCGGGAUUUCACAAGAAAAUCUAGCACCGCGGCCCCAUUCCCUUCUCUUGCCGGGAUUUUAAUUUGCAAUUAAGUUUAAGAAAUUAGGGUUUGUGAAUUAGAAUUUGGGGAUUUGGGAGUUCGGGCUUUUCGUAUCGGCGGCAGAGGACUACUCGGAACCACUCCACAGCAGUAGCGUGAUUGACGGACGACAGCCCGCGGUGGUGGUUGACGGAGCUUGCUAGGUCUAUUUUUUAUUUUUGUAUUUUCAAUUAAAAUUACUAAUUAAAUUGUAUUUGAAUUAUUUUGUGCAAUUAUGUUUUAUACUUUGUAAAUAUGAAUUGAAGAACCGAGAGCCUUGUGCACUACGAUUGUAGGUUGGUUUGAUUUAGUUAAUUGGAGUUGGCAAGUUAACCAAAGUACCAGUUUAGUUGUCAGUUGGGAAGUUAAUGAAUUAAGCAAUGGAUUACCUGGUCUGGCUUUAUGGUAUGCAGGCUGUUAAGUUAGUAGACUAAUGUCUAGUUGAAUCAUGAAUCAAUUUCGAUUUAGCCAUACUGAUUAUCCCUCUUUCUUGCCCUGUUUCUUAUUUUGGGAUGAUUGGUGAAUGGUGGUUCCUUCAAUGUCUGAAAUUAAAGUCAUGGUUGCUGACAUGCUAGACUUGCCUUUCGCGGAUGAUUCUUUUGAUGUGGUUAUUGAGAAAGGAACAAUGGUAAGAACACCAUUUCUAGUCUGGACUUCAUUUUUUUUCUUGUUAUCAAAAGCCUGAGAACAUAAACAACAAUUACUAAAAUUAUAUCGUUAUUGAUUCCUGUUAUCUGCAUUUUGAAGUUGCUCUGAUAUAUUUCUGACCAAUAUCUGGUAUAAUCCGUAAUCUCUAUAAAGAAGGUUAGUUAAUUUUUUAUUCUUCUUCUGCACCUGCUUAGAAGACUGCAGUAUUGAAAAACGUUGUAUUUGGCUACAUAUGAUAAUGUAUUCUCGUCUGAAAAUUAUGUAUUAUGCUUUCUGUUGAUUGGAUAUUGGAUGGAGCUUCAUAUAUACUGUGUUUUAGGGAGAAAAACGUGAUAGUACAAAAAUAGUAUCUAGCGGAUGUAAAGUAGUUGUUGCCUGUUUCGUUGCCCUCUGCCAUAAUUAAGACAAUAAUAAUAUCUUAAUUUACUGUCUGGGUUAUUUCAGCUACUAAUAAACUAUUUCUAUCUUCUGAUUUUAGUCCAUUGAGUGAGAGUGCUGGUACUGUUGGUACGGAUAUUGUUUGUCAAGCAUUAAAUGGAAUCAAGAUGAGUGAUAAAACCCCUUACUGUUCGGCGUGCUAACCAGGGUACUCAACAACCAAAGCCAGAGCAAGAGAGUGUAUACACAGCAGCAGAUUGCGUUGCAGUGCCACCAAAGAAGCUUAUUUUACAGGUUCUAAGCUAGCUCAUACAAACACAAGCUAGUCAUGAUUGCACUUGAUAACAGCCUUAGGUUCCUAGCCAAGCUAAACCUUGGCAGGUGGCAAAUAUGGACAGCGAACAUUUGUUUGGUCCAUCUUUGUCAGUUCUUCAACUUUUUCUUCGGGUGUUUCUCAUUUGAGUCGUUCGUGCCGUUUUGGACGUAUCCUUUCCCCAACUUUGAUUCAUCUUCCACUUGGUCUAUACUACGAGGAAUGCGCCUUAUGCUAGUGAGCAAAUUCAUGUGGUUCGUGAGGAAUGGGCUAAGUUUUUUACCAGCAAGUAUUUAUUAUUGGCCUUAGCGCGUUUGAUCGAGUUGGCUUAGAUAUUAUAGAACAAUCUUUUAUAUUAAAAUGUAUGCGUACGUUGAAAUUGGAACAUACAUAUAUUUAAAUGUACUACACGCACUUUGUUUUGGGAUAUAUAGUAUACAAAACACCAGUUAUUGUUUUUAUAAUGUUUAUACAGGUUGCGAUA